ACAAGGAUAUGAUACCCUGGUAGUCCACGGCCUAAGACAUGAAUACUAGGUGUUGGCUUCCAUAGGGAGUCGGUGCCGCAGUACACGCAAUAAGUAUUCCACCUGGGGAGUACGUCUGCAAGAUAGAAACUCAAAGGAAUUGACGGGGACCCGCACAAGCGGUGGAGCAUGUGGUUUAAUUCGAAGCAACGCGAAGAACCUUACCAAAUCUUGACAUCCUCUUGACAAAGUAUGUAAUGUACUCUUCCUGUCGGACAAGAGUGACAGGUGGUGCAUGGUUGUCGUCAGCUCGUCUGGUGAGAUGUUGGGUUAAGUCCCGCAACGAGCGCAACCCUUAUCUUUAGUAGCCAGCAUUUCGGAUGGGCACUCUAGAGAGACUGCCCGGGUGAACCGGGAGGAAGGUGGGGAUGACGUCAAAUCAUCAUGCCCCUUAUGAUUGGUGCUACACACGUGCUACAAUGGCGUAAACAAAGGGACAGAAGUAGGUGAC
rnacentral:rRNA from 1 species